UUGGUAGCAGAUGCAGAUUUGGUUCAUGCGUUGAUGAACUUGGCUUGUUCCUCUUCGGCUCUUGCUUGGAGGAAGGGCUGAUCGGGGUCUCCGGCGCCGUCAACAGCAAUGGUUUGUUUGCUUGAGUUGUGUUAGAUGGCGCCUUCUGAGUCACACCUGAUACUAUGGCAGCCCUCUUCCUAUUUCCAUCUACUUCAUGCAUCGCUACGUCAUUCUCCAUGGCAGCAAUAUCGUCGCGGCUCUGGUUGGUAUAGACGUUGUUCUGUCCUCUUGCACGUCCCCCACCUCUACCAGCGCGGCCUCUGCCUCGUCCUCCUCUGGACCCGCUGCCUUCACCCGGUCCAUUGCCAGGUCCUCUUGACCAACUUGCUUUCAGAUCUUUGAAGACUAGAGCUUUGGGAGGAUGAAUCCCGUCUCCACAUUCCUUAAACUGAUGACCGAGAUAACCACACACAGCGCACCAAUCUGACAACCUUUCAUAUUUGACUCUGAAGAUUACUCUUUCGAGCGUUUCCUUCCUCCUGAACACCAAAGAAACAGCGUUCUUCAGAGGUUUGGUGACAUCUAUCUUCACACGAACACGUGCGAAAUUUCCUUCAAAGUCUUGUGACUUGGGCAUAUAUGAAAUCGCCAACAGUCGCUGGCAAAGCCUUAAUUUUGGAGAAGUAUCCAUCAGGGAGGUCAUGAAUCUGCAUCUAGAUAUCAAUUUUGUUGAGCUCAAUAGUAGAUGGCUUGGUGAACCCGUCAUAUGGUGACAUGACCACCGCUUUCCCCUUGAAGUUCCAAGGUCCUUCAUCCAUCACUCGUUCCCAGUCACCAAGGCAAGAAAACUGCAAAGAGUAUAGGUUAUCUUCGAGGGGGCGGAUUUUCACCUCUUGCGCCAGAUCCCAGGCCACUCUCAUGUUCCUACAGAACCAGUAUUGGCUGUAAGGUUUGUCGGUAUGAACCCUAGCCAGGGCCAUCCAGCGGAUUGCCUCCGUUGACAGCUUGCUAUCAUCCACCACCACGUCCUGGAGAUCGCUCUCCUUCAACCCUAGUUCCUCCAUCAUAGCCUCGAGAUCAUAAGUAGCCGUUCCCGAACUCGACGCCGCUUUAUCCAUGUUCUCUAGCCCGAGGUGUUGUGAUCCGCGGGCGGUACGUUCCCGAUCGAACCCUAGCUCCGCACUGCCACCAAGGCCCGAGAGCCCCGGCAGUCACCGGCGGAGCAGGGGAGGCCGGGGAAGAAGCAGAUCUCUAUGGGAGGGCACCGCCGUCGCCCGAGAGGAGGAAGAAACCCUAACGAGAGGGGAAGAAACCCUUCUCCUCAGCUGCACAAAGCAAUCGUUGGCCUCAGCUGGCGAGGACUACUAGCGAUACGUGGAUUCGUCUGUAACUAACAGGGCCUUUUGUUUCCACGAUGGCCAGCUUGGCAUGUUAGUGCUCCAUAUCUAAUGGGCUCUACCAACUCAAAAAAAAUCUAAUGGGCUGUACACAUGGGCUGAGGAUAGGGGGGCCGAAGCAGGUUACGUACAUGGAGGCAAGCAGAAAAAUUAGUGGAUCGCUAAUCGUUAUCGAGGGAGCACUCGAUCGUUAGGGGGGUCUCACCCCCCUCGUCCCCCCUUAGAAUCGUCCCUGCGUGGAUUCGUCUAUAACUAACAGGGCCUUUUUGUUUUCCACGAUGGCCAGCUUGGCAUGUUAGUCGAAAUCACUAAUUGAGGAGCGCUCCUCGCAACGAUUAGUCAGGGAGCGCUCCCUGCGCGCCAAGUGUCACGCGCGGAGCGGUCGGGAGACUUUUCUGAGGCGCUCCGCACGCGACACUUGUCGCGCGCACGGCGUCUCCCGUGUUUUCCGGUUUCCGGUUUCCCUUUCUGGUUUUUCCUUUUUUCACUUUAGUCCUUAUACUUUUAAUGUUUUGUAAAACCUUUUGAUCUGUUUUGAGAUCUGUUUCUCUCUGGUGUGGGCAAACCGUCGUGGAGCACUGUUCUUUCUUUGCCGUCGUCUCCGCCCGUCGCGGCCGCCGCUCUUGUCGCGUGGUUACGGCGGCCCCUGUCCCGGCCGCCGCGCUUGUUGCCUGCUCUUACGGUGGUCCUUCUUUAGCGUCGACCGUGCUUCCCCGUUCGCGUGAUCGCCGUUCCCUACUGGUUGCCUUCGUGGGUUCCCUGUUUCCCUUUCUCGUUUCUCUUUUUGUUCCCAUUAUAUUUCCGGGAUAUGGAGAUUUAUGGGGUAGUUACGGGUGGGGACUACCAACACUAUCAGAUGUCAAGUUUCAACUGGGUUUUGUGGGAUUAGUUCUUGAUAAUCAUUGUGUUCCUUGCAGUUAUGGCUUGUCCUUUUUGCCGUAUGCCUGGUGGCCCGUGUUCUUCUGUUGAUUCUUCUGUAGAUGGGUUCAGUGUGGUCCUGGAUCGGCGUUGUUGGAGGCGUGUUGUAAGAAUAUCAUUUUAUAAUUGUUCAAUUUUUGGCACACACGCUUAUUUCUUUUGGUGCUGCUCAUGCUGUUUAGGUUUUGAUUAUGAUCCUUGUUUUGAUUUGUUGUGCAGUAUGUUUCGUGUAGUGUUAGAGCUCAUCUUGCUCGUUACAUCGAGGAGUGUAGGGCUUUAGCCAUAAGGAGGGGUGACGAAGAUACUGAUCUUGCUUUUCAGUGCAAUGAGGGUUAUUUGUAUGGUGUUCUGUUUAGUCAUGGUCGGUUGAGGAGCAAAUUCCAUGGUCCUUCCCGGGAACGAUUGGUCAGUGAUUAUGGUGUUCGUCCUCGUGAUAUAAUGACCAUUAGGCUUGAACAUUAUGGAACAUGGAUUGGUAUUGAUUUUUAUUGUGUUGGUCGUGGAGAUGCGUUGUCUCCUUUACCGUCUGUUGGCAAGGUUUAUUUUUAAGGAAGUUUUUAGCUUGUUUUAUUGCAGAUGAUGAUUUUUCUGUUCCCUUGAGCCCGUGUAAUUAUAUUUUGUAGCUCUUGAUGGUUUGAGCGACUCUGAGAUGGAACUUGUUGGGAGUUGUUAUUACACCCGUGGUGUUUUUCUUAAUUAUCAGCAGAUGUAUUUCAGGAGGUGUCAACUCUUUGAUGAUGUCUACAUACCGUGUUGUCCUUUUGUUCACAGGAUUGAUUCCAUGAAUGUUAAUGGUCAUCAUAUGGUUAUUCCUGGUAUUGUUGUGAGGAGUUUGAAGGAGUUUGUGACUUUUCCUAGGACUGGCGUUUUAACCCUUGAAGUUACUUUGGAAUCUGGUGAUGAUGAUAUAUAUGUGAGCACUCCAUGCUCCUACUUCAUUGGCUUGGGUAGUAGAAUGGUGUUCAAACAGGAAGGUUUCAGUGAUUUUCUCCAGGCAUCGUCUAUUGAAGUAAACAGCUUGGUGCUGAUAACUUUCAAAGAGCGUGAUGGUAGGCUUGUUGUUAUCUUCAAUCUUCUGCCGCAGUGAUGUUAGUUAUAGCCUUUGAACAUAAAUGGAUUUUGUUUAAAAAUCUAUGCUACGGUUUAAUGUUGUCUAGAUACAUGAAACGAUAUGAACCUAAGUGUUCAUUGCUGUUGUAUGUUUGUAGAAGAGGUAUGGCUGUGCAUCUCUUUUAAAUAUGUUUUUUGGACGGAUGUUA